rnacentral:rRNA from 1 species
AGUGGCGCACGGGUGAGUAACACGUGGGUAACCUGCCCUCGAGACCGGGAUACCCCCUCGAAAGGGGGGCUAAUACUGGAUACGCUCCUCGGGUCGCAAGACCUGGGGAGGAAAAGGCGGCGAAAGCUGCCGCUCUUGGAGGGGCUCGCGGCCUAUCAGCUAGUUGGUGAGGUAACGGCUCACCAAGGCGAUGACGGGUAGCUGGUCUGAGAGGACGACCAGCCACACGGGGACUGAGACACGGCCCCGACUCCUACGGGAGGCAGCAGUGGGGAAUUUUCCGCAAUGGGCGAAAGCCUGACGGAGUGACGCCGCGUGGGGGACGAAGGCCUUCGGGUCGUAAACCCCUGUCAGGGGGAAAGAAGGGGAUCGGCGUGAAUAGCGCCGGUCUCUGACGGUACCUCCAGAGGAAGCCCCGGCCAACUCUGUGCCAGCAGCCGCGGUAAGACAGAGGGGGCAAGCGUUGCUCGGAAUUACUGGGCGUAAAGGGCGUGUAGGCGGGAUGGCAAGUCGGUCGUGAAAUCCUUCGGCUUAACCGAAGAAGGGCGUCCGA